rnacentral:rRNA from 1 species
GAUCAACGCUGGCGGCGUGCUUAACACAUGCAAGUCGAACGAAGUUUUUCCUUCGGGAGAAACUUAGUGGCGGACGGGUGAGUAACGCGUGGGUAACCUGCCCUGUACAGGGGGACAACAGCUGUAAACGGCUGCUAAUACCGCAUAAGCCCUUAGCACUGCAUGGUGCAUAGGGAAAAGGAGCAAUCCGGUACAGGAUGGACCCGCGUCUGAUUAGCCAGUUGGCAGGGUAACGGCCUACCAAAGCGACGAUCAGUAGCCGAUCUGAGAGGAUGUACGGCCACAUUGGGACUGAGACACGGCCCAGACUCCUACGGGAGGCAGCAGUGGGGAAUAUUGCACAAUGGAGGAAACUCUGAUGCAGCGACGCCGCGUGAGUGAAGAAGUAUUUCGGUAUGUAAAGCUCUAUCAGCAGGGAAGAAAAUAACGGUACCUGACUAAGAAGCACCGGCUAAAUACGUG